rnacentral:rRNA from 1 species
AUUGAACGCUGGCGGCAGGCUUAACACAUGCAAGUCGAGCGGGGUGAUGGUGCUUGCACUAUCACUUAGCGGCGGACGGGUGAGUAAUGCUUAGGAAUCUGCCUAUUAGUGGGGGACAACAUCUCGAAAGGGAUGCUAAUACCGCAUACGUCCUACGGGAGAAAGCAGGGGAUCACUUGUGACCUUGCGCUAAUAGAUGAGCCUAAGUCGGAUUAGCUAGUUGGUGGGGUAAAGGCCUACCAAGGCGACGAUCUGUAGCGGGUCUGAGAGGAUGAUCCGCCACAAUGGGACUGAGACACGGCCCAGACUCCUACGGGGGGCAGCAGUGGGGAAGAUUGAACAAUGGGGGGAACCCUGAUCCAGCCAUGCCGCGUGUGUGAAGAAGGCCUUAUGGUUGUAAAGCACUUUAAGCGAGGAGGAGGCUCUUUUGGUUAAUACCCAGGAUGAGUGGACGUUACUCGCAGAAUAAGCACCGGCUAACUCUGUGCCAGCCGCCGCGGUAAUAC